GCCUGAUAUAAACAAGUGAACAGUUAGAGAGGACACAGAGGGCUCCGAGUGUUUCAGUGAAGUCUACAAAGUAGCCUCACUCCGAGCUUCAGCAGGUGACUUGGCCGAGAGGGACCUCAGUGAAAGAUGUAGAGGAAUAUUGGAGUCCAAGACCGGGAGCUGUUGGGAGGACGUUAGAACCAAUUCUCAACCCUAGAGGAGAAUAACCUUUGCGUGACCCACAGGUUGAGAACCACUGCAUUGCAGCACCAGUGAGGGAGUGACAAAACUCAGAAUCCCCCCGCCCCUCCUAUGGACCUUCACUUCCUUAUCAUUAUUGUCCCUUGUGAUUCAAGUCAUGGAAAAAGUCAACAAGAGAGUUCUCUGGUCAAGGACAGCUCUUUCUGCAGAACAGCACCAUGCUUUAACACAAUGGAGUCCCGAAGAAUUUACACAAAUCAAAAUAACGGAUGGCUGGGCCGCUUUAAUCUCCACUUCUCACCCCUUCCCCUUUGAACUUGGUCACUGUCAUGUUCCUAAUCUCUGGAGAUUCUGCAUCUAUCCCUUUCAAGAGCCAUCGGCCCCAUCUCUUUGGUUUGGUCUCCUGGAUGUGGCAUAAAUAUUUCUGUCCCUUUGAGGCCUCCAGCUGGAUUCUGACCUUGGACGUGGCUGGGGGAAGGGCAGAGAAGGCUUCUCUGAGUUAUCCAGGCAAGAGCGGUUCUAGGAAGCUGGGUCUGGAGACACUGGAGAAUUCAUUCUGGAGGCUCGAGUAGGCCUCCGGCAAAUGUGAUGCUGCG
rnacentral:lncRNA from 1 species